GACGUAGGGCGCGAGCGUUGUUCGGAUUUAUUGGGCGUAAAGAGCUCGUAGGCGGCUUGUUGCGUCGACCGUGAAAACCCGGGGCUCAACUUCGGGCUUGCGGUCGAUACGGGCGGGCUAGGGUUCGGUAGGGGAGACUGGAAUUCCUGGUGUAGCGGUGAAAUGCGCAGAUAUCAGGAGGAACACCGGUGGCGAAGGCGGGUCUCUGGGCCGAUACUGACGCUGAGGAGCGAAAGCGUGGGGAGCGAACAGG
rnacentral:rRNA from 1 species